rnacentral:rRNA from 1 species
UACGUAGGUUGCAAGCGUUACUCGGAAUUACUAGGCGUAAAGCGUGUGUAGGCGGUGUUUUAAGUCUGUCGUGAAAUUCCACGGCUCAACCGUGAAAAGUCGACAGAUACUGGGACGCUAGAGUGAGGCAGGGGAAACUGGAAUUCCAGGUGUAGCGGUGGAAUGCGUAGAUAUCUGGAAGAACGCCAAAGGCGAAGGCAGGUUUCUGGGCCUUUACUGACGCUGAGACACGAAAGCUAGGGGAGCAAACAGG